CUAAAUAUGGCGGUUACCUCUAUAGAGUGAGGGUAUCUACCAUCUGGAUAUCCUUCUUCCCAUAGAUAGAGAGCGCUGCACAGUUCCAACCCGAUAUCCUGUAAAGCUAGUAUAGCUGAAGAGAGCUCUUACAAGAGCUAGCAGUCAUAUAGCAGUUAUAGCUGUUCCCUACAACAGAAAACGAGGCUGCAAGUUGAAGGUAAGAAUGUCUGGUUUAUUGAGCAACUUGCAUUUCUUUUAUACAGAUUUUCAGGCCAGAGGCACACCCCCUGGACCUGAUGGAAC